GGCUGGUUAGCUCAGUCAGUUGAGCGUAGCGCUAACAACGCUAAGGUCGCGGGUUCAAUUCCCAUUCGGUCC
rnacentral:tRNA from 1 species